rnacentral:rRNA from 1 species
UACGUAGGCAGCAAGCGUUGUUCGGAGUUACUGGGCGUAAAGAGUGCGUAGGCGGUCCUCUAAGUUUGGUGUGAAAUCUCCCGGCUCAACCGGGAGGGUGCGCCGAAAACUGGAGGGCUCGAGUGUGGGAGAGGUAAGCGGAAUUCCUGGUGUAGCGUGAAUGCGUAGAUAUCAGGAGGAACACCGAUGGCGAAGGCAGGUCUCUGGCCGAUACUGACGCUGAGGAGCGGAAAGCGUGGGGAGCGAACAGG